rnacentral:siRNA from 1 species
AUAAAUGCUAAGCGAACGGUGAU